CACGUAGGGCGCAAGCGUUGUCCGGAAUUAUUGGGCGUAAAGAGCUCGUAGGCGGUCUGUUGCGUCCGCUGUGAAAACUCGGGGCUUAACCCCGAGCCUGCAGUGGAUACGGGCAGACUAGAGGUAGGUAGGGGAGAAUGGAAUUCCCGGUGUAGCGGUGAAAUGCGCAGAUAUCGGGAAGAACACCGGUGGCGAAGGCGGCUCACUGGCUCAUUACUGACGCUCAGGCGCGACAGCGUGGGGAUCAAACAGG
rnacentral:rRNA from 1 species